GAAGGCGGCUGUCUGGUCUGUAACUGACGCUGAGGCUCGAAAGUAUGGGUAGCAAACAGGAUUAGAUACCCUGGUAGUCCAUACCGUAAACGAUGAAUGCUAAGUGUUGGAGGGUUUCCGCCCUUCAGUGCUGCAGCUAACGCAUUAAGCAUUCCGCCUGGGGAGUACGGCCGCAAGGCUGAAACUCAAAGGAAUUGACGGGGGCCCGCACAAGCGGUGGAGCAUGUGGUUUAAUUCGAAGCUACGCGAAGAACCUUACCAGGUCUUGACAUACUAUGCAAAUCUAAGAGAUUAGACGUUCCCUUCGGGGACAUGGAUACAGGUGGUGCAUGGUUGUCGUCAGCUCGUGUCGUGAGAUGUUGGGUUAAGUCCCGCAACGAGCGCAACCCUUAUUAUCAGUUGCCAGCAUUAAGUUGGGCACUCUGGUGAGACUGCCGGUGACAAACCGGAGGAAGGUGGGGAUGACGUCAAAUCAUCAUGCCCCUUAUGACCUGGGCUACACACGUGCUACAAUGGAUGGUACAACGAGUUGCGAACUCGCGAGAGUAAGCUAAUCUCUUAAAGCCAUUCUCAGUUCGGAUUGUAGGCUGCAACUCGCCUACAUGAAGUCGGAAUCGCUAGUAAUCGCGGAUCAGCAUGCCGCGGUGAAUACGUUCCCGGGCCUUGUACACACCGCCCGUCACACCAUGAGAGUUUGUAACACCCAAAGUCGGUGGGGUAACCUUUUAGGAACCAGCCGCCUAAGG
rnacentral:rRNA from 2 species